CUCAGCCUUCCAUAAACACUUCCUGUAAAGAGAGCCCUAUUUAGGCUUUCUUUAUUGCAAGUUCUGUUUAAUUAAGAUUUUCUUAUCCCCUGCUAUGUUAAUAGCUUGCUAGACCCCGCAAGAGCCUCCUGUAUGUGAUUAAAGUUCAAUUUAGAGAUUGAGAUACAAUUAUUUAAGGUAAAUUACAUCUGUUUGAAAGUGAAACCAGUUUUU